AACUUUUGGCAAUGGAUCUCUUGGCUCUCGCAUCGAUGAAGAACUCAGCGAAAUGCGAUAAGUAAUGUGAAUUGCAGAAUUCAGUGAAUCAUCGAAUCUUUGAACGCACCUUGCGCCCUUUGGCUAUUCUGAAGGGCAUGCCUGUUUGAGUAUCAUGAACACCUCAACUCUCAUGGUCCGCCAUGAUGAGCUUGGACUUUGGGGGUCUUGCCGGCCCAGUGUCGGCUCCUCUCAAAUGGAUCAGCUUGCCAGUGUUUGGUGGCGUCACAGGUGUGAUAACUAUCUACGCUUGUGGUUUUCUGCCAUAUAACCUUCAGUGAUGGAGGUUCUCUGGAGCUCACAGAUGUCUCUCCUUGGGGAGGACAGCUUUUGAACGUUUGAUCUCAAAUCAGGUAGGACUACCCGCUGAACUUAAGCAUAUCAAUAAGCGGAGGCU
rnacentral:misc_RNA from 1 species